rnacentral:rRNA from 1 species
UACGAAGGGUGCAAGCGUUAAUCGGAAUUACUGGGCGUAAAGGGCUCGUAGGCGGCCAACUAAGUCGGAUGUGAAAUCCCCAGGCUCAACCUGGGAACUGCAUCCGAUACUGGAUGGCUUGAAUCCGGGAGAGGGAUGCAGAAUUCCAGGUGUAGCGGUGAAAUGCGUAGAUAUCUGGAGGAAUACCGGUGGCGAAGGCGGCAUCCUGGACCGGCAUUGACGCUGAGGAGCGAAAGCGUGGGGAGCAAACAGG